GUGCUUGCUUCGGCCGCACAUAUACGAAAAUUGGAACGACACAGAGAAGACUAGCAUGGCCCCUGCACAAGGAUGACACGCACAUUCGUGAGGCACUCCACAUUUAA
ensembl:snRNA U6 U6 spliceosomal RNA